UGGGGAAUCUUCCGCAAUGGACGAAAGUCUGACGGAGCAACGCCGCGUGAGUGAUGACGGCCUUCGGGUUGUAAAGCUCUGUUAAUCGGGACGAAAGGUCUUCUUGCGAAUAGUUAGAAGAAUUGACGGUACCGGAAUAGAAAGCCACGGCUAACUACGUGCCAGCAGCCGCGGUAAUACGUAGGUGGCAAGCGUUGUCCGGAAUUAUUGGGCGUAAAGCGCGCGCAGGCGGAUCAGUCAGUCUGUCUUAAAAGUUCGGGGCUUAACCCCGUGAUGGGAUGGAAACUGCUGAUCUAGAGUAUCAGAGAGGAAAGUGGAAUUCCUAGUGUAGCGGUGAAAUGCGUAGAUAUUAGGAAGAACACCAGUGGCGAAGGCGACUUUCUGGACGAAAACUGACGCUGAGGCGCGAAAGCCAGGGGAGCGAACGGGAUUAGAUACCCCGGUAGUCCUGGCCGUAAACGAUGGGUACUAGGUGUAGGAGGUAUCGACCCCUUCUGUGCCGGAGUUAACGCAAUAAGUACCCCGCCUGGGGAGUACGACCGCAAGGUUG
rnacentral:rRNA from 1 species